CCGUCAUCUUUUUUUUCCCCCGUUCCCUUCUCUCUGCCUGUCUCCUCUCUUGGUCGGGACUCACUUUCCUGGCGGCGCCGACUGGACGAGCGGCGGCGUCAUCCACCACUUCUUCGCCGGGCCCUGUUGCCGGCGACGAGCACCCACCAGGUGGUAGAAACGUUUGAGGAGUGCGGGUUUUGACACUUUGUGAUGAUUGUGUAGUAGCGUCCAGAUGAGUUCGAAGAAGGUUCCUUACCACAAGCAUCGGGAGGCUGAGGAGGCGAGGAAGAAGAGGGAGGAAGAUGAAGCAGCACGUGUAUAUGCGGAAUUUGUCGAGUCAUUCAAGGGUGAUAGCUCAUCUGGGGCUAAGUUUGUCCGAGGUGGUGUGAUCGACCCCAAUGCAAAGCUGAAGAUUGGCCCUGAAGGUGGAAAAUCCAAAGAUGGGGGGUCUGUUCCAAAGAAGGGCAGUAGGUAUGUUCCGUCCUUCUUGCCACCAUCAUUUGCAAAAGAGCCUGAGAAGAAGAAGGAAGAAGAAAGGCCAAAGGAAAAGGAAAAAGGAAAGCCACGCGUAAUAGAUAAGUUCAUGGAGGAACUUAAGUUUGAGCAAGAGCAACGAGAAAAGCGUAGUCAGGAUCGAGACCACCGGCGUGAUCGUCACAGUGAUAGCUCCAUGCCCUCUAGCCGGUUUGAUGAACUACCAGAUGAAUUUGAUCCGACUGGAAGAUUUCCAGGAUCAUUUGAUGAUGGCGAUCCUCAAACCACAAACUUAUAUGUUGGCAAUCUAUCUCCAAAGGUUGAUGAGAAUUUUCUUUUAAGGACCUUUGGUCGGUUUGGACCUAUUGCUAGUGUCAAGAUUAUGUGGCCUAGAACAGAAGAGGAACGCAGGAGGCAAAGAAAUUGCGGUUUUGUUGCCUUUAUGAAUAGAGCAGACGGGCAGGCAGCAAAGGAUGAAAUGCAAGGUGUUAUUGUAUAUGACUAUGAACUGAAGAUUGGAUGGGGAAAAUCUGUUGCUCUACCAUCACAGGCAUUACCUGCUCCUCCUCCAGGACACAUGGCAAUCAGAAAUAAAGAGGGUGGUACAGUCAUACUUUCUGGUCCUGGCGGCCCUGCUGUUGCAUCUGUUACACCACAAACCUCAGAGCUGGUCCUUACACCAAAUGUUCCUGAUAUUGUGGUGGCGCCACCGGAUGAUGGACGUCUUCGGCAUGUGAUUGACACAAUGGCUCUGCACGUACUUGAUGGUGGAUGUGCUUUUGAACAAGCUGUAAUGGAGAGAGGGCGAGGGAAUCCUUUGUUUGAUUUCUUAUUUGAUCUUAAAUCUAAAGAGCACACAUACUAUGUUUGGAGGUUAUACUCCUUUGCUCAGGGUGAUACUUUACAACGAUGGAGAACAGAACCAUACAUUAUGAUCACAGGAAGUGGAAGAUGGGUUCCACCUCCCUUGUCAUCCAACAGAAGCCCUGAACGUGAAAAGGAAUCUACAUUUGCUGCUGGUAGAAGCAGGGUAAAUCGUGUUGAAGUGGAGCGGACAUUGACUGACUCGCAGCGUGAUGAGUUUGAGGACAUGCUACGAGCGUUGACAUUAGAGAGGAGUCAAAUAAAAGAGGCCAUGGGAUUUGCCUUGGAUAAUGCUGAUGCAGCUGGGGAGAUUGUUGAGGUUCUCACAGAAUCCUUGACACUCAAGGAGACCUCUAUUCCAACCAAGGUUGCUCGGCUUAUGCUAGUGUCCGACAUCCUUCAUAACAGUAGUGCUCCUGUGAAGAACGCCUCUGCAUUCCGAACGAAGUUUGAAGCUUCUUUGCCAGAUGUCAUGGAGAGCUUCAAUGACUUGUACCGCAGUAUCACUGGAAGGAUUACUGCUGAAGCUCUGAAGGAGAGGGUUAUGAAAGUUCUACAAGUUUGGGCAGACUGGUUCUUGUUUUCUGAUGCAUUUCUGAAUGGGCUGAGGGCUACUUUUCUUAGAUCAGGCAACUCUGGUGUUGUUCCAUUUCACUCGCUAUGUGGUGAUGCACCUGAAAUUGAAAAGAAAGGUAGCUCUGAGGAUGGCAAUGGUGGAUUUAAGCUUAAUGAAGAUGGUGCCUUGGCUACAGGAAAGGCAGCAGCAACAAAGGAGCUAUUAGGGCUUCCACUAGCUGAACUUGAGCGCCGUUGUAGACAUAAUGGCCUCUCACUAUGUGGUGGUAAAGAGAUGAUGGUUGCCAGGUUGCUUAACUUGGAAGAGGCUGAGAAGGAACGCGUAUAUGAGAAAGAUGUUGAAGUGAAAUAUGCGCAAGGGGAACAGCAUAAAACUGGAAGAGAGGACAGUGGUUUGAAUGCUCCUAGUGCAUCACGAUUUGGAGAAACUCCUAAUGGUGAUGGACUAGAUGUCUCUAGGAAUAAUAUGGGAACUGCCAAAGGACGCACUAGAGAGUCUGCUUCUGCUGAACUUGAAUCAUUUCCAAGCAAGAAGCCGAAAUAUGAUCCUGUUUUACCAGCUUCUAAAUGGAGUCGAGAGGAUGACAUCAGCGAUGAUGAAGAUAGAAAAGGUGGUAGAGGCUUGGGAUUAAGCUAUUCAUCUGGAAGCGAUGCUGGUGAUCUGGGAAAGGCCGAUACAUCAGAAGUUAGUACUGAUCACACAAGUCAUCAUCAAGAUACGAUUGUUGAUGAAGAACAUAGGCAGAAGUUGAGGCAGAUUGAAAUUUCUGUCAUGCAGUACCGUGAAUCUCUUGAGGAGCAGGGUAUCCGCAACAUGGAUGAGAUCGAGAGGAAGGUUGCCAGCCAUCGGAGACACCUUCAGUCUGAAUAUGGUUUAUCCACUUCAACUGAUGGUGCAAACAGCAGGCGGUCUUCUGAAAGAACAUCACUGGAGCGGAAAGAGAAACACGACAAUGCACAUGAUUAUGCUAGGAAACGGCGCCGGAGCCAGAGUAGAAGCCGCAGCCCUCCAAGGAAGUCACAGGAGAGGGACCGAGACCACAACCGCAGCAGAGACCGAUCUCAUGGCAAUGAUGUUGGGAGGGACAGGGUACGUGAUAAAAGCACGAGCCGUGGGCGUGAUGACCACUAUGACAGAAGCCGAGACAGGGAGAAGGACAGGAGAAAGGGAAGGUGACGAUACCCAAAAUCCCUGUCACAAUUCAUCAUUUGCAUGCGUGCAAGGUCCCUGGAGCAAGGUAAUAUUCGAGCUACAUCAGUUAACAUCUGCUGCACCACGGCAGGUUUCCUGGCCUGCUCCGAGCCCUUGAGAAUCUGUCUGUAAUCGGAGUUCUGAGGACUAAGGUCAUGUUUUUGUAGAGAUGAUCUGUUUGUAACAGGCUGAUACGUAGAUCUUGCACGGCACCAUUGGUGAAUGUCGGCCCGUUCACUGACAAUGGAGGCCAAGGUGCUCACGUGCGCACUCGAAUUCCUGCACGUCGCUGAAGGAGAAUGUGUUGCCCAUUAUGCCCGAGCAUGUGAGCAUGUGCUUUACUAAUGUGUUGUGCAGGUAUGCUACCUGUCUACGCACGCUUUUGACACAUGCUUAAACGGUGACUCUACUGUCGGAACAUUAGUAAAGCACGAAACUUUGUUGUCGUAUAUUUUAAAACAGAGAGUAAUAAUUCAACAAAGUUGGGCAAUAUUGCAACAUAAAUUUUUGAA